GCAGAGCUUACAUCGCAGUGGACAGAUCAGUGGAUAACCUAGCAAAUCAACAGAAUGACCCAUGCACAAGUGGGAUAAAUAGAAAACAAAUGAUGCAGGUGCUGUUCAAGAAUUUCAUAAGUAUGUCUAUGAUUUCAACAUUAUAUUCAAAGCUGUCUCUUUGGACAAGAGGAACACCUGAUUUGGAAAUUUGGUGAGCUAAAGAGUAUAUUGUCACCAAUCCAAACAACAACAACCUGAUAAGAAUUUUGUGGAAAAAAAGUCUCAAGUCUCAGCAUCAUCAAUGCAUGGAAC
rnacentral:lncRNA from 1 species